GCGCGCCCCGCGGGCAGCCCGGGCGGGGGGCGCCGGGAGGGGCCCUGGACGCCCGCGCGCUCCACGCUGAGCCCAUGCCGCUCGGUGAGUUCCAGAGUCGGGUCAAGUUUACUUCCCGCGGGUGUGUCCGUCUGGCUUCUGGGUGGACGCCAAGGAACGCGCUUCUGCCGCGGUUGCUCCAGCCCUGCUGGAGCUCGGGGAUGGCCCCAGACGAGGGCAUAGGGUGUGUGCUUCUGCGAGCUUAAGAAGCGCUGGCCAGAAUUCCUGGCAGACAAAUCGGUUCGCUCCUGCACGACUCUUGGCUUUGCUGAGCCUUGGCUGGUCCUAAAAGCGUCAGCCAAAGGACAUCUGAAUAUAUUUAUUCGCACCAUAGAGAGAUGUGAGGGGCAGCCUAAGGAGUGAGGUGGAGACGUUGUUUUUCUGAAGAUGGGGCACCGUUUAUUCAAGAAAAUAUCAGCCAACAAGAAACAGCUUCUUAAACUGAGCUCCCCAAAUAAGAAGCUGAAGCCAUGCCAGGUGGAGGGAGUCAAGGCAAAGAGUGAGGGCACUUCUGCUGCAACUGGUCCUGAUGGCACUGUGCCCAGCCAUCCAGAAAGACGUCUUAUCAUGGCAUUGAGGAAUGACUGGUGAUGCCCACCCCGACUGUCUCAAAAGAUGCGAUCUCUGUUUCCUUUGUUCCACCCAUAUUAACCUGUAUUCUAGUGCAGCUUUUGGGGUCUUUGUCUUACCCUCAACUGCUGGACUGCCAACAACUUUUGGGCAGAAAAUGGGGCCUUUGCUACCCCUUGCUUUCCAUGUUCUCUCUGAAAUGCCCAGCUCAGUACUCAGCAUUUAACGAGUGCCCAAUAAACACUAAAGGGAUUGUA